UGCGGCGGCUUACACAUGCAAGUCGAGGGGUAUAGUUCUUCGGAGCUAGAGACCGGCGCACGGGUGCGUAACGCGUAUGCAAUCUGCCUUUCACAGAGGGAUAGCCCAGAGAAAUUUGGAUUAAUACCUCAUAGUAUUANNNNNCGGCAUCACUUUGUAAUUAAAGUCACAACGGUGAAAGAUGAGCAUGCGUCCCAUUAGCUAGUUGGUAAGGUAACGGCUUACCAAGGCAACGAUGGGUAGGGGUCCUGAGAGGGAGAUCCCCCACACUGGUACUGAGACACGGACCAGACUCCUACGGGAGGCAGCAGUGAGGAAUAUUGGUCAAUGGGCGCAAGCCUGAACCAGCCAUGCCGCGUGCAGGAUGACGGUCCUAUGGAUUGUAACUGCUUUUGUACGAGAAGAAACACUCCUAUGUAUAGGAGCUUGACGGUAUCGUAAGAAUAAGGAUCGGCUAACUCCGUGCCAGCAGCCGCGGUAAUACGGAGGAUCCAAGCGUUAUCCGGAAUCAUUGGNUUUAAAGGGUCCGUAGCGGUUU
rnacentral:rRNA from 1 species